AUGGCGGCAGCGCUUCGUUCUGCGGCGAGGAAAAUCUGCGGUCACGCCUUUGAGCGACCGCAGGCGCUUCUCAGGACGGCCGCUUCAGCUGCCAUCAAGGAGGAGCGGGGGCGGCUGCUGCCAGGGAUUAGCCAUGGCCGAAGCUCACUCCGCCAGUUCACCUCCUCCGAAUCACCGAGUGUUCUUAAUAAUAAGAACAAGGGUUGUAGAUAUUUUUCUCAAAGAGGAAUGAAUGGGCUUAUGAAACACAAAGCUUCUUCCAAUCAUCUGGUUAUUAGAUGGUUAUCACGCGAGCAGUCAUUGAAGUCGCGCUCGUGUAGCUUAUUAUCAGCCUCCGAAGAUAAACCACCUACUUACUUUGUGGCUUCAAGAUUUAUUUGUUUGGCAAUGAUGUCUGUGUAUAUCUUAACACUUUGUCAUGUGUCAAUUCCCUACUAUAAGUCAACCAUGAAUGUGGUAGAGGAUAAGUAG
rnacentral:rRNA from 1 species